GCCGCUGGAAAGGCCUUGGCAACUCUGGAUAAACUUGGCUGCUGGCUUGCUAAACAGACUAAUGCUAGUAGAAGGGGGAGAUGAAGGCCAGAGUUCAGCCAGCCUCAGCAAAACCCCAAGUGUCGCACAACUGAUAAAAGAGGACGUGCUGGAACUCGUCGGCUACAAGCCUUGGGAGGAACAAGAUAACAAGAUUGUCUAGAAGGAACAGAGAGUGCUUGCUCUGUUGAGGAACACAGGCAGUAAAUUGUGUUGAAAAAA